UGGAGCAUGUGGUUUAAUUCGAAGCAACGCGAAGAACCUUACCAGGCCUUGACAUGCAGAGAACUUUCCAGAGAUGGAUUGGUGCCUUCGGGAACUCUGACACAGGUGCUGCAUGGCUGUCGUCAGCUCGUGUCGUGAGAUGUUGGGUUAAGUCCCGUAACGAGCGCAACCCUUGUCCUUAGUUACCAGCACGUUAUGGUGGGCACUCUAAGGAGACUGCCGGUGACAAACCGGAGGAAGGUGGGGAUGACGUCAAGUCAUCGUGGCCCUUACGGCCUGGGCUACACACGUGCUACAAUGGUCGGUACAAAGGGUUGCCAAGCCGCGAGGUGGAGCUAAUCCCAUAAAACCGAUCGUAGUCCGGAUCGCAGUCUGCAACUCGACUGCGUGAAGUCGGAAUCGCUAGUAAUCGUGAAUCAGAAUGUCACGGUGAAUACGUUCCCGGGCCUU
rnacentral:rRNA from 1 species